CAGCCGCCGCGGUAAAACGUAGGGCGCAAGCGUUAUCCGGAAUUAUUGGGCGUAAAGAGCUCGCAGGCGGUUUGUCGCGUCUGCCGUGAAAGUCCGGGGCUCAACCCCGGAUCUGCGGUGGGUACGGGCAGACUAGAGUGAUGUAGGGGAGACUGGAAUUCCUGGUGUAGCGGUGAAAUGCGCAGAUAUCAGGAGGAACACCGAUGGCGAAGGCAGGUCUCUGGGCAUUAACUGACGCUGAGGAGCGAAAGCAUGGGGAGCGAACAGGAUUAGAUACCCCAGUAGUCCCUGUCUCUUAUAC
rnacentral:rRNA from 1 species